UCCCUGGUAGUCCAGUGGUUAAAACUUUGCACUCACAAUGCAGGGGGACCAGGUUCGAGUCCUGGUCAGGGAA